rnacentral:rRNA from 1 species
GACGAACGCUGGCGGCGUGCUUAACACAUGCAAGUCGAACGGAAAGGCCCUGCUUGCAGGGUACUCGAGUGGCGAACGGGUGAGUAACACGUGGGUGAUCUGCCCUGCACUUCGGGAUAAGCUUUGGAAACUGGGUCUGAUACCGGAUAGGACCGCACUUUAUUGUGUGUGGUGGAAAGUUUUUUCGGUGUAGGAUGAGCUCGCGGCCUAUCAGCUUGUUGGUGGGGUAAUGGCCUACCAAGGCGGCGACGGGUAGCCGGCCUGAGAGGGUGUACGGCCACAUUGGGACUGAGAUACGGCCCAGACUCCUACGGGAGGAAGCAGUGGGGAAUAUUGCACAAUGGGCGCAAGCCUGAUGCAGCGACGCCGCGUGGGGGAUGAAGGACUUCGGGUUGUAAACUCCUUUCGCUAGGGACGAAGCUUUUUGUGACGGUACCUAGAUAAGAAGCACCGGCUAACUACGUG